rfam:Pan troglodytes isolate Yerkes chimp pedigree #C0471 (Clint) chromosome 8, whole genome shotgun sequence.
AGAUGUGACUGAGACCUGUCUCUGAUAUGUAGCACCCCAUGGGUUGCCAGUGCAGGUUUUGGUCAACAUGGAUGGCUAGGCAUGUUUCCUCACCUUCCUUACUCCUCCAGGGCCAUGCCCCUGAAGCUGUGGCCUGGGUCAGAUGGGACCAUUCACUCAGACUUGGCUAUGACUGCGAAGUCACAACAUUCUUAGGUGAAAUUACAUUUCUAAAUGAUAUUUUUUUUUCAUUAAAAUAAUGUUUCAUUCCAACCUUGGGUUCUGAAGAAAUUUUCCAAAGUU